CAAGCGGCGAAGCAGCGUCGUUCGAGAGCGAGAGCGGGCACCACGGAUGAGAGCGUGCAGGUGCGGUAAGGGGGCAGGUCGGGGCAAAGGUCAGCGACUGGAGCCCGUUUCCUGCUUAGGCCAGAGCGGAGCCGAGGGGAAAUGUUCCCCGUCCUCGCUGCAUUGUGAAGGGACUGUGCCGAGAACCACGGGUGGAUGGCAGCCCCCGCCGAUGCAUGCUGGCUGCCCCUUCGGGAGGACGUCAGCAGGCCCCGGGUCACUGCCCAGCAGCAGUGUGCCCCUGAAGCCUGAACGUGGAUCCAGAGCGGCCCCCAAGGCACCCGGGACCGGCCUGGUCUUGUGCGGUAACCCUUGGUGAGUCCCUGACCCGUGGCUGUGCUUCCUGCGUCCACCAGGUGUCCCUUCGCACACUCGCCAGGCAACGGCAGGUGGAACCUGCCCUGGUCACCAUCAGACGGCGUUCCAUCGAGGACUAAGUUCCUGAAGUCCCCGGCUCUGGUGUGUGGUCAGUGACUAGGGCACAGCAAGCAGUGAUUCUCGGGGACAGAGUGUUGUCAUCAAGAGGCGCUACCAGGUUCUGAGUGCGUCCGGGGUCUUUGUCACCCAGGCGUUGACUUAAGCGGUUGCGUAGACUGAAAGUAAGUGGACGUGUGCCACCAGCACUGUGCUUCCUGGAGAUGGACAGGCGCCUCUGAAGAUGGAGCUGGCGGGCAUGGACGGGCUGUAGGGAUUCGUUUGGUGACAACCGUUAAUUGCUGGCGGGCAGUUAUGCCUGAAAAGCUAACAAGGCACAGCGGUUAUGCCUCGUCUUGGCCCCAGCUGCAGCCAGGGUUUAACCAGAUCUUUGCCAGCCUGCCGUGGAAGGGCCAGGGAGUCAAGUGGUGCGGGCUCUGCCGGCCAGGCGGUUUCUGUCUCAACCGCUCGUUGCUGAUGGUGCGACACAAAGGCAGCCCUCAAGUAAGCAGACACAGAAAUGUGGGUUUUGUUUCAGUUCCCCAUCGUGAAGUACUGUUCCAUUGACUUUUCUCAACUAUUUAGAAGCUUUGGGUUUAGAAGCUUUGCCAUUUUUAGCUUUGGGUCCUACAAAUAGCAACCAGAUUUGGCCCUGAGGUCAUCGUCAGCUGAUUCCUGUUCUAAGAUGCAAAGUAGUAAGGAAACUUCUGAGAAGUAACUUUUGACUGCGAUUUUUCCUUCCACAGGAGUUCGUUUCUGAGUCUGGUAGUUCGGUCUUUAAACACUUUAAUGUUCCAACUUCUCUGUUGUUCCCUUAUCAAUAAAUAUCUGAGCACCAACCAUUUGAAGUUGCGGGGUAAAGCGAAGGAGCCCCAUCGCUCUCCCAGGUUUGAGGUCUGGCAGAGGCUGAGAGGCAGCUGGUCGGAGACUGAGAUGUAGUCUUGGCUGCACACAGAGGGGAUCACGUGAGCUUUACUGUCUCCAAACCAAGGGGUAAGACGAGAUGAUCGCCAAGGUCUCAGUUGCCCCACGUACACUGUUCUUUAAACUGAUUUUCUAGCUGAAAUGUGGGCAUGAAGUCGAGCACUCAUUUAACCUUGUUUCCUUGCCAUAAACAGCUAGUUCUUGUAACAAACCUGCAUCCAGACGUGAGAACCCCCCCUGGGGAGCUGGACCUGCUCAGAGAGGAAGUGACUUAUUUCUCAAAGUAAACCCAGAAGCUGUGAUCCCUGGGCAGCAGAAUCAACAUCACUUGAAGUACGAAAGUGGCACCACACCUGCUCCACCGACCCCAGAUCCCCCGGGUCAGACUCUGCAGUUUAGAUUCCCAGGUAUAUUUUCAAGAAAGGAUGACCCCAUCACUGACACCUGGGAAGUUGUGAGCAGUGCAGGUGCUGGGGCCCAGCAAUGUCCUGAUGAGCUCUCUUGUGAUCCUCACGUCAGAAGUCUGAGAACCACUGAAUUAGGUGCUGAAGGCACAGACAAGGGCCGAGCCACACUCUGCAUCACGGUCUGGUCAGGAGGGUGACACCGACCUGCACGGACACAGGCA